rnacentral:rRNA from 1 species
UGGGUCAGCGACUUAUAUUCUGUAGCAAGGUUAACCGAAUAGGGGAGCCGGAGGGAAACCGAGUCUUAAUUGGGCGUUAAGUUGCAGGGUAUAGACCCGAAACCCGGUGAUCUAGCCAUGGGCAGGUUGAAGGUUGGGUAACACUAACUGGAGGACCGAACCGACUAAUGUUGAAAAAUUAGCGGAUGACCUGUGGCUGGGGGUGAAAGGCCAAUCAAACCGGGAGAUAGCUGGUUCUCCCCGAAAGCUAUUUAGGUAGCGCCUCGUGAAUUCAUCUCCGGGGGUAGAGCACUGUUUCGGCUAGGGGGCCAUCCCGGCUUACCAACCCGAUGCAAACUGCGAAUACCGGAGAAUGUUAUCACGGGAGACACACGGCGGGUGCUAACGUCCGUCGUGAAGAGGGAAACAACCCAGACCGCCAGCUAAGGUCCCAAAGUCAUGGUUAAGUGGGAAACGAUGUGGGAAGGCCCAGACAGCCAGGAUGUUGGCUUAGAAGCAGCCAUCAUUUAAAGAAAGCGUAAUAGCUCACUGGUCGAGUCGGCCUGCGCGGAAGAUGUAACGGGGCUAAACCAUGCACCGAAGCUGCGGCAGCGACGCUGAUGCGUUGUUGGGUAGGGGAGCGUUCUGUAAGCCUGCGAAGGUGGCCUGUGAGGGUUGCUGGAGGUAUCAGAAGUGCGAAUGCUGACAUAAGUAACGAUAAAGCGGGUGAAAAGCCCGCUCGCCGGAAGACCAAGGGUUCCUGUCCAACGUUAAUCGGGGCAGGGUGAGUCGACCCCUAAGGCGAGGCCGAAAGGCGUAGUCGAUGGGAAACGGGUUAAUAUUCCCGUACUUGGUGUUACUGCGAAGGGGGGACGGAGAAGGCUAUGUUGGCCGGGCGACGGUUGUCCCGGUUUAAGCGUGUAGGUGUGUGUUCCAGGUAAAUCCGGUUCACUUUAACACUGAGGCGUGAUGACGAGGCACUACGGUGCUGAAGCAACAAAUGCCCUGCUUCCAGGAAAAGCCUCUAAGCAUCAGGUAACAUCAAAUCGUACCCCAAACCGACACAGGUGGUCAGGUAGAGAAUACCAAGGCGCUUGAGAGAACUCGGGUGAAGGAACUAGGCAAAAUGGUGCCGUAACUUCGGGAGAAGGCACGCUGACACGUAGGUGAAGUGAUUUACUCAUGGAGCUGAAGUCAGUCGAAGAUACCAGCUGGCUGCAACUGUUUAUUAAAAACACAGCACUGUGCAAACACGAAAGUGGACGUAUACGGUGUGACGCCUGCCCGGUGCCGGAAGGUUAAUUGAUGGGGUCAGCGCAAGCGAAGCUCCUGAUCGAAGCCCCGGUAAACGGCGGCCGUAACUAUAACGGUCCUAAGGUAGCGAAAUUCCUUGUCGGGUAAGUUCCGACCUGCACGAAUGGCGUAAUGAUGGCCAGGCUGUCUCCACCCGAGACUCAGUGAAAUUGAACUCGCUGUGAAGAUGCAGUGUACCCGCGGCAAGACGGAAAGACCCCGUGAACCUUUACUAUAGCUUGACACUGAACAUUGAGCCUUGAUGUGUAGGAUAGGUGGGAGGCUUUGAAGUGUGGACGCCAGUCUGCAUGGAGCCGGCCUUGAAAUACCACCCUUUAAUGUUUGAUGUUCUAACGUGGACCCGUGAUCCGGGUUGCGGACAGUGUCUGGUGGGUAGUUUGACUGGGGCGGUCUCCUCCUAAAGAGUAACGGAGGAGCACGAAGGUUGGCUAAUCCUGGUCGGACAUCAGGAGGUUAGUGCAAUGGCAUAAGCCAGCUUGACUGCGAGCGUGACGGCGCGAGCAGGUGCGAAAGCAGGUCAUAGUGAUCCGGUGGUUCUGAAUGGAAGGGCCAUCGCUCAACGGAUAAAAGGUACUCCGGGGAUAACAGGCUGAUACCGCCCAAGAGUUCAUAUCGACGGCGGUGUUUGGCACCUCGAUGUCGGCUCAUCACAUCCUGGGGCUGAAGUAGGUCCCAAGGGUAUGGCUGUUCGCCAUUUAAAGUGGUACGCGAGCUGGGUUUAGAACGUCGUGAGACAGUUCGGUCCCUAUCUGCCGUGGGCGCUGGAGAACUGAGGGGGGCUGCUCCUAGUACGAGAGGACCGGAGUGGACGCAUCACUGGUGUUCGGGUUGUCAUGCCAAUGGCACUGCCCGGUAGCUAAAUGCGGAAGAGAUAAGUGCUGAAAGCAUCUAAGCACGAAACUUGCCCCGAGAUGAGUUCUCCCUGAGACUUAGAGUCUCCUGAAGGAACGUUGAAGACGACGACGUUGAUAGGCCGGGUGUGUAAGCGCAGCGAUGCGUUGAGCUAACCGGUACUAAUGAACCGUGAGGCUUAACCUUACA